rnacentral:rRNA from 1 species
GUGCCUAAUACAUGCAAGUCGAGCGGAUCUUGUUCAGAAGCUUGCUUCUGAACUUGGUUAGCGGCGGACGGGUGAGUAACACGUAGGCAACCUGCCCUCAAGACCGGGAUAACAUUCGGAAACGAAUGCUAAGACCGGAUACGCAAGUCUGUCGCAUGACGGACUUGGGAAACACGGUGCAAGCUGUGGCUUGAGGAUGGACCUGCGGCGCAUUAGCUAGUUGGUGGGGUAACGGCUCACCAAGGCGACGAUGCGUAGCCGACCUGAGAGGGUGAACGGCCACACUGGGACUGAGACACGGCCCAGACUCCUACGGGAGGCAGCAGUAGGGAAUCUUCCACAAUGGGCGAAAGCCUGAUGGAGCAACGCCGCGUGAGUGAGGAAGGCUUUCGGGUCGUAAAGCUCUGUUGCCAGGGAAGAAUAAGGGUGAGUUAACUGCUCAUUCGAUGACGGUACCUGAGAAGAAAGCCCCGGCUAACUACGUGCCAGCAGCCGCGGUAAUACGUAGGGGCAAGCGUUGUCCGGAAUUAUUGGGCGUAAAGCGCGCGCACGGUCUUUUAAGUCUGGUGUAUAAGUGCGGGGCUCAACC